ACUCCUACGGGAGGCAGCAGUGGGAAUAUUGGACAAUGGGCGCAAGCCUGAUCCAGCCAUGCCGCGUGAGUGAUGAAGGCCUUAGGGUUGUAAAGCUCUUUGUCCGGGACGAUAAUGACGGUACCGGAAGAAUAAGCCCGCUAGCUUACUGUGCCAGCAGCCGCGGUAAUACGAAGGGGCGGUAGCGUUGCUCGGAAUCACUGGGCGU
rnacentral:rRNA from 1 species